rnacentral:sRNA from 1 species
AACAGGAAUCUCUCUUGAUGUUAAAAGACGUCUCCUUUUCUUUGCCGAUGCUGGGAAUAACACUAUCUGCUCAGUGCAUACAGAUGGUUCUAAUCUUCUAACUCUUUAUAAAGAUCUCCCUGACCUAAGAAGUAUAGCACUUGACACCAAUACCUUUGAAAUUUACUGGACAGCUUGGGGGUCACGUCCUGGAAUAUAUAAAGGACAGUAUCAAGGGGACACAUUGAUCAGCACUGUAUUAGAUAUAGAUCUAAAGCGUCCUGACGGUCUUGCAUUGGAUUCUAUAGCCAAGAAAUUAUACUUCUAUGAUGCUGGCGCACACACUAUUGAAGUCAUCAACACUGCUGGAGCACCAAACAGAGUUGUCUUGUUCACAGAC